rnacentral:rRNA from 1 species
AUGCUGCUAUUUACAUUUAUCCAUGGGCUGCUACACUACUACUUGCUAGUGCUAGCUUGUUGGCACACAACUACUCAACCUGAACCUUGUAUUUGUGUAUUUGUGCUGCUGCUGAACCUUGUAUUUCUGCUGCUAUUUGUGCACCUGAAGAUCCUGAACCUUGUAUUUCUGCUCCUGAACCUUGUAUUUGUGCUUCUGGGACCUGCACCAUGUAUUUGUGAUGCUAUUUGUGCUCCUGAACCUUGUAUUUGGCUUCCUGAUACUGUGUUUUCUAUUUGUUCUAUCAUAUAUUCACAUUGA